rnacentral:lncRNA from 1 species
CCCCGUCGCGUUUAUCGAGGAGACAGGUGAAAACUGAGGUUUAGAGAGGGUAAAUAACUUGCCCAAAAUCUGGAAAAGUUUGCCAACCCCUGGUCUUACUCCUCAUUAAGGUUUCCCUUCCUCUCCACCAUUCCCAAAUCUGAGUAUUCCAGAAGAGCUACUGUUUUUUUAAUGAUAUGGUAAAUUAAUUUCUAAAGGGAUUAAAAUGAAUACCUACCUGUUGUAAUGAAAAUAAAUGUAUAACAUAAAGCAAUCUGCAAAAUAACUGUUUUGCAGGCCUAAGACUUAUGCAGAGGUGGCGCCCGCCCGUAAUCCCAGCACUUCGGGAGGCCGAGACGGGCGGAUCGCUUGAGACCAGCCAGGAUAACAUGGCGAAACCACAUCUCUACAACAAAUACAAAAAUUAGCUGGGCGCGGUGGCACACGACUGUGGUUCCAGUUACUCGGCAGGCGGAGGUGGAAGGAUCCCUUGAGCCUCUGGAGGUGGAGGUUGCAGUGAGCUGUGAUUGCGCCACUGCACUCCAGCCUGGGCGACAGAGUGAGACCCUGUCAGAAAACAAAACAAAACAAAAGAAUUCUGUAAGAACUUCUAACAGGUACAUUCCUGUAAGCAUUACCCACCACUGGACUAGGCACUGGGUAGCCUGUAAAAUACAGUAAGAGCCGUCUCUGCACCCAGAAAAUUUACCAUCAUUUUGUGCUGGAAAGACAUGCCCUAGAAAACAAUAAACAGCACGACUGUACAUGAUUCCAUG